rnacentral:rRNA from 1 species
UACGAAGGUCCCAAGCGUUAUCCGGAUUUAUUGGGUUUAAAGGGUGCGUAGGCGGAUUAUUAAGUCAGUGGUGAAAGCCUGCAGCUUAACUGCAGAAUUGCCAUUGAUACUGAUGAUCUUGAGUAUGAUUGAGGUGGGCGGAAUGUGUCAUGUAGCGGUGAAAUGCUUAGAUAUGACACAGAACACCGAUUGCGAAGGCAGCUCACUAAGUCAUAACUGACGCUGAUGCACGAAAGCGUGGGGAGCAAACAGG